CCGCCUCCCACACUGUCCUACAGGAGAAAGGAGCUGCUGCUGCUGAUAUUGCUUCAUGAUACCAGAACAGAGGUCAUACAUCUUACUGGUAUCUCGCUGAGUGAUUUAUGUGCCACGUCUUUGAAUCGGAGUUCAUGGAAAGUGUUGUGCUGUGAGGAUGAGCAUUAUGGCAUGAGGAAUACAGCAGAAUGACAUUUCACUGCAGCGUAACUUUGAAAGUUCACAUCGUUUCAGUCUGGGAUCAUUCGGGGAGCAAAUGAAGACAUCCUAAAAGUGUCAGCUCUUGAACUAAAUCUUAUUGGUGGUAAUUCCACAGUGAUUAAUAGUGAGUGUGAGAUAUACAUUUUGGUGAUUUUAGAUAUUUUUAGGUUUGAGUAACCGUGUCAUACUCACGUCAUGCAUGCCCAGGUGCAUGACAUGGAUGGAAACUUUAAAAACUAUUGGUGUCACACAAGUGGGUGGGAUUUUUUUGUAAUUCCUUUAGCAUAUUAAGGAAAAUAUUUUUUUUUUCCUCGGACAACGCAGUCCUAAAGAAAAUGAGAAUGAUGAAUCCCCAGACUGCGCUGGGUACCACCUGCAGUUCUUCUGCAAUGUCCAGUACCACCUUACUGAGCACACAAGUUCAAAAAAUAAAUUAACAUUGGAAAAUA